rnacentral:lncRNA from 1 species
UUACUUUAAAGGUAUUUUUUUUGUUUGUUUUAUUGCACUGUAACGUGUUAAGAAUGAGAAUCCAAGAGGAUCUAUUUAAUUUCUAAAGCGGAACAAAUGUUCAUUGUUAUGUUGAUAGAGGGAUUGUUUUUACCGAUGCAAGAAAGAAUGCCAUGUGGAAGAACUGACUGUGUUAAGACUGAUUUUUGAAGAUGAAGAAGAUAAAGAAAUACUAAGGAAUUCUUUACUCUUUUGUCAAGACCUUUUUAGAAGAUUGGUUAACCUCCCCUUGAGUUAUGAGGCCAAUGAGGUUCGUAAGUUAGAUGAUAAUUCACAGUACGUUUGUCAUUUAUUUUGUAAGCUAAUUAUCAUUUGAAGUACUGUUGUUUACUUUGAUUAUGUGAGAAGAUUGUUUUAUUCUCUGUGAGAAUUUAUUAUUUGUGCUUAUUUGUACAUAUUAUUUUAGUUCUCACGACGUGUUUGGCAUGUUGGCAUGACGACGGGUGUCCCAAGACGUGCUAAUAAACGCCUGUGUGUGAUAAGAACGAUUUUGGUCGUGAUUCGAACUGGAGGGGAGCUACAAUGAGAACUCAAGAGCCUGCUCCACGCGGCGUGAAGAGAUCCCGGUCGGCGCCUGUCCUCAGCAGAGCUGCAAGCAAGUUUCAGCGAACGGAAAAGACUGUGCAUGCGCCAGCCCACUAAGCAACAACAAGCGGCGUCCAUAAGCAGUGUCGUCAAAUCCACAAGUAACAUCUAAAACAAGUUAUAUGUUAACAAAGGGAAUAGCCCCACAUCUGCUUUAAAGGGACUCUAUAAGCGUUAUGAUUAAGGUGCAUUGGUGUUAUGUACAUGUUUAAAUCCUUUCACAACUAAGCUAUUUAAGUGGUGUAAUAUUCAAGGUUUUGAUACAGUUCAGUUUAUGAUAAGAGUGCUUAUGUGUUAAAAUAAGUGGUUAAAUUGUUGACAAAAAUAAGGUCAUGCUAUUACAAGGAGAGUAGCAAUAAGUAACCAUAAGUUUUACUGCAUUGAAGCCAAUAAGUGUAUUUUUCAUAGGUCAUUCAUGCUAAUCAUACAUAUUGAAGCCAAAUUAGUAAACUAAAUAAUUGAGUUAAAGCUAAAUCCUAUGCUUCUGGAUUACAAAGUGUAAAAUCAGCUUUAGCAAUAACAAAAAUGAAUGAGCAUCAGCUGCUGAAAAAUCUUGAGAACAACUCAUUAGUUACAAGCCCACCAGAAGAGACUGAUGCCACUGUAGAUCCUCAGGCUGCUGCUGAGACAUUAAGAAGAAGUCAGAGAACACGUAAACUCACAGCAAAAGGCCAAGAGCUCCAAGAUAGUAAGUCCAAAAGGCUUCAGCAUCUCUUCACAGUUGCUUAUGACAAGUGGAAAACACAAGCUAAAGAGGUUAAGAAAGCUCUUAACAAGUCUACGUCCAGUGAGCUCCUUAGAGAACUUGUGAGUACGACUUGUAAGGCUUCAACAGAUGUGAAACAGACGUAUGAAGACUUAAGACAAUAUUGUACUCCUGAUGGUGAAACACGCCGCAGAGUAGAUACUUGUGAUGCUAUCUCAAAACAAAUUGAAGAAUAUGCAUCUAAUCUUCUUGAAGAGAAAGACAAAGAACAGGGUGCAAAUAGUGAUCAAGUACACUGGGAUGGAACUAGUUCAGUGCUUUCAUCUGCUAUAUCCUCAAGGUUUAAGUCAAGAUCAAAAGGUUCAAAAUCUGCAAGCAGUUCAUAUGUAAGCACGCGACACUCAAGCUUGUGCUCUGCAAUGAAACAAGACGCUGCAGCUGAGCUAGCUGCUACUCGAGCUACCUUGCAAGCUUUAAAAGAAAUAGAGUGUGAAAAACAAAAGCUUGAAAGUUUAGAGGUAGAAAACAAACAGAGGCUUGCACUACAAGAAGCUGAAAAUAUUGCAAGACAGAAUACACUAGAAGAAAAGCGCAGAGAGAUUUUACGUUUAGAGACAGUUAAGCAGAUGAAUGCUGCUAAAGCCAGACUACAGGUCUAUGAACAAGGAGAUAACUCAGAUGAAGAGAUAUCAGAGUUGCUUUAUAGCACAAGGCUAAAUCAAAGCACACCUGUGCCCAAGAAAGAGAGACCUCCAGUGCAAUGCACAGCAUCACCACUAGUGACACAGGUCCAGUCUGCAAGUAACAGUAAACCUGAUAACAGUGCGAUCUCACUUGCUGAAGCAAUAGCAGAGUCAAUUAAUUCAAGCCGUCUCCCAGCACCAGAGCCAUCUAUCUUUACUGGAGACCCAUUAAGAUACAAAGACUGGAAGAUGUCUUUUCAAACACUGAUUGGCAGGAAGAACAUCCCAGUAAAUGAGAAAGUCUACUACCUCCGCAAAUAUGUUGGUGGAUCAGCAAGGAAAGCCAUUGAGAGUUAUUUCCUGCUUAGUACAGAUGAGGCUUACCAUUCAGCUUGGGAAGUCUUGGAGGAGAGAUAUGGAAGUCCCUUUGUCAUUGCCAAGGCAUUUAGAGACAAGCUCAACUCAUGGCCAAAAAUAGGCCCUAAAGAAAGCAUAGAGCUAAGAGAGUUUUCAGAUUUCUUACGAGCUUGUGAAGCAGCAAUGUCUCAGGUUAAGUGCCUUGAAAUAUUAAAUGAUUGUAGUGAAAACCAGAAAAUGAUAACUAAGCUUCCUGAUUGGCUGGCAGCCAGAUGGAACAGAAAGGUCAUUGAGUUUGAGGAAGAAAGAAAGAUGUUUCCUACAUUCAAUCUGUUUGUCGACUUUGUCACAAGGGAAGCAAAGAUUGCUUGUAAUCCAGUGACAUCUCUACAUGCUCUGAAGUCUGGUGAUGGAGAAAAGAUGAAGACAUUAAAGAUUCGGAGUGUUGGAGCAAAGGUUUUGACGAGCAACUCUGAAGAAGCCUCAGAUACCAAGUCAUGCAUCUUUUGUGAGAGGUCAACACACAGCCUUCAUACCUGUCGAAAGUUCAUGGAAAGGUCAGUAGCUGAACGAGUCAAGUUUGUGCAAAAUAAGAAAUUAUGUUUUGGUUGUCUUAAAGCAGGACACCAUUCAAAGAACUGUGCACAAAGGAACAUCUGUGAUGUGUGUAAGGGAAAGCACCCAACAUGUUUACAUGAGGACCGCACCAAAGAGGACAAAAGAGAAACACAGAGAGACAAUGAAAAAAAGGAAAGUGGAAAACAUUCAAAGGACAAAGAAAGGUCAAAGGAAAGGACAGAUAUUAAGCAGGCAGAAGCAACAUCUAACCAAGUGGUGCAAAAUAAAACCGGCAUAUUCACAUCCACUGUUGUUCCUGUGUGGUUGUCCACAACAAGCGAUCCAGAGACUGAACUCCUUAUCUAUGCGCUGUUGGACAGUCAAAGUGACACGACCUUCAUACUGGAGGAGAAGGCAAACCUUCUAAAAACGCAAAGUAAGCCUGUACAAUUAAAGUUGUCUACAAUGUCACACAAGGUAGCAGUUAUUCCAAGUCAAAGGUUAACUGGGUUGCAGAUGAGAGGUUUUUGCUCAUCAAAGAAAAUCACUCUCCCAGAAACAUACUCAAGAGACUUCAUUCCUGCUAAUCUAAGUCACAUCCCUACCCCCAAAACAGCAAGAGCAUGGCCACACCUAGAGCAUCUUGCUGAAGAGAUUCCCCCUUUAAUCGAAUGUGAUGUGGGUCUGCUCAUUGGCUAUAAUUGCUCUCAAGCACUGCUACCUAGGGAAGUUGUGUCAGGCAAAGACAAUGAGCCAUUUGCUCAAAGAACAGACCUCGGUUGGAGUAUUGUCGGCUGUGUCAACCCUUGUCUUGACUAUGGCGAUGCGAUUGGAGGCAGCCACAGGGUUGCGGUGAGACAAGUGACACCUCAGCCUAUGUCAUCCACCACUCUCCUGAGUGAAGUGCGAUACAUAUGCAGAACACAAGUCAAAGAACUAAUCACUACACCUGACGUGCUAAGAGUGCUGGAGUCAGACUUCAAUGAAAGAACAGGAGAGGAAGCUCACUUCUCCCAAGAGGAUUUGCGCUUCAUAUCAAUAAUUGAGGAAAGAAUUAAAUUCAAUGAAGAUGGUCACUGUGAAAUGCCUUUGCCGUUCAAGGAGAAUAGCCCAAACCUGCCAGACAAUAAGAAAUGUGCAGAGCAUCGCCUCGGCUGUCUGAAGAGGAGAUUUGAAAGGGACAAGCAGUACCAUGAACAUUAUGUAACCUUCAUGAAUGAGACCAUUGCUCACAAAGAUGCUGAGAAAGUGCCAGGAAGUGAACUGAACAAAAGCCCUGCCUGGUACAUCCCUCACCAUGGGGUGUAUCACCCGCAAAAACCUGGAAAGAUAAGAGUCGUAUUCGACUGCUCAGCAAGGUUUCAAGGCGUGUCAUUAAAUGAUCACUUGCUUACCGGGCCAGACCUUACCAACACUUUGAUAGGCGUCCUUUGCAGGUUUCGCCAGGGCCCAGUAGCAGUAAUGUGCGACAUUGAGCGCAUGUUUCACCAAUUUCACGUAAGAAAGGAAGAUCAAGACUAUUUAAGGUUCCUUUGGUGGGACAAUGGAGACUUUCAAACCCAACCAUCAGUGUACAGAAUGAGAGUACAUUUAUUUGGAGCUGCUUCAUCACCCGGCUGCGCAAACUAUGGUCUCAGGCACAUCGCAGCCCAAGGACGAGGUCAAUUCAGUGAAGCAUCAAUCCACUUCAUUGAAAGAAACUUUUACGUGGACGAUGGCCUGAUAAGUGUCUCAACAAAGGAGGAAGCAGUCCAGUUGAUCAGUGAAUCAAGACAGCUCUGUAACAAUGGAAAGCUACGAAUCCAUAAGUUCAUUUCCAACCACCCAGAAGUGCUUGCAUCAAUUCCCAAGGAGGAAUGUGCAGAAAUGACACAAGGUCAAGACUUGUCAUUAGGUGAACCACAGAUUGAGAGAGCUUUAGGGGUGAAAUGGUGUGUUGCCUUAGAUCAGUUUAGGUUCAGAGUAGUUGUGAACGAGCGUCCUCUCUCAAGAAGAGGAGUAUUGUCCACAGUAGCGUCCAUUUUCGAUCCACUUGGUCUGGUGGCGCCUUUCAUUCUGACAGGAAAACAAAUACUUCAACAAAUGUGUCAAGAUAAGGCAGGAUGGGACGAACCGCUGUCUGAUGAACUUCGACCACGAUGGGAAUCAUGGCUUUUGGACCUGCAACAUCUAGCUGAUGUUAAGGUGCAGCGAUGUUACCUUCCAGAGAACUUUAAGGAAGUCUUAAGAUAUGAACUCCAUCACUUCUCUGAUGCGAGUGUCACAGGCUAUGGAGAAUGUACUUACUUGAGGUCCAUCAGUGCAUCUCAAAAGAUACACUGUGCCUUAGUCAUGGGCAAAGCCAGGGUAGCUCCAACAAAGAUUACCACAGUACCAAGACUCGAGCUGUCGGCUGCUGUUGUUGCUGUCCGUACAAGUGAAUUCCUGAGAAAGGAGUUGGAAGUAAAUGCCCAGGAUUUUUUCUGGACCGACUCAAAGGUCGUUCUGGGAUAUGUCAACAAUGACGCCAGACGCUUCCACGUAUUUGUGGCUAAUCGUGUUCAGCGUAUCAAGGAAAGUACAACUGCAAGCCAAUGGAGGCACGUGACCUCUGAGAAAAACCCAGCUGAUCAUGCCUCAAGGGGUCUCAAGGCAAAAGAGCUCAUAUCUUCCAACUGGCUCACUGGGCCGGAUUUUCUCUGGAAUGAAGAACUACCAAGUGGAGAUAGUAUGGUGGGAGAUAUUGCAGCUGAUGACCCAGAAGUUCGAAAGGUCAUUGUACAUAAAACAUUGGCAACUGAAAGUUUACUGCUUGAUCGUUUUUUAAAGUUUUCUAGCUGGACGAGGCUAACUAAAGCUGUUGCCAGACUUAAGCGAUGUGUCAAGGAGUAUAAGGGUUUGACACCACGAACCAAUGAAGCAUCAAGCAUUGAAGAGAGAAAGGAUGCAGAACUUACAAUCAUAGGCCUUGCUCAAAGAGCAGCCUUUCAUGAGGAAAUCCAGCGCCUUCAGCAUGAGAAGGAAGUGACUGUGAAGGAUAAUGUCAACAGACUACAUCGACUGAAUCCUUUCUUGGAUGAAUGUGGUAUACUUAGGGUGGGAGGUCGUCUUAAGCAUGCUGCUUUGCAUCCAUACAUUAAGCAUCCAGCAAUCUUGCCAAAGAGUAGCCACAUAUCUAAGCUAUUGAUCAGACAUUACCAUCAACAAGUACAACACCAAGGACGUGGAAUGACAAUGAACGAGCUCAGAUCCAAUGGCAUCUGGAUCGUUGGUUGUAGCCAGGCUGUGUCAUCGUACAUUUACAAGUGUGUGAAGUGUAGGAAGUUUAGAAGGAGCACUGAAAACCAAAAGAUGGCAGACUUACCCAGUGAACGCAUGGAAGCAACUCCUCCCUUUACUUAUUGUGGGAUGGACUGCUUUGGUCCUUUCUACAUUAAGGAUGGAAGAAAGGAGCUGAAACGUUAUGGUUUGUUAUUCACCUGCUUGUGUUCUCGUGCUGUGCAUAUAGAGGUGCUUGAUGAUAUGACAAGUGAUGGUUUUAUCAACGCCCUUCGUGCAUUCAUUGCUUUGCGUGGACACGUACGACAACUUAGAUCAGAUCAAGGAACCAACUUUGUUGGCGCAAGACGUGAGUUUCUGGACACUGUUAAAGAGAUGAAUCAAGAGUGCCUGAAGCAACUUGGUUGCGAGUUCAUCUUUAACACUCCCUCUGCAAGCCACAUGGGUGGAAUCUGGGAGCGGCACAUAAGAACAAUAAGAAGUGUGUUGGCGUCCAUUCUGGACCAGUCAUCCAAAGGUCUUGAUGGCUCAUCUUUGAGGACCUACUUUUAUGAAAUCAUGGCAAUCAUAAACAGCAGACCUUUAACUGCUCACCUGCUCAAUGAUCCAGCCGGACCACAACCUCUUACACCCAAUCACAUCUUGACCAUGAAGUCGUCAGUGAUCUUGCCUCCGCCCGGAGAGUUUGUGAGAGAGGAUUUGUACCUUCGCAAAAGAUGGCGUAGAGUGCAAUACUUGGCAAAUGAGUUUUGGUCUAGAUGGAAAAGGGAGUAUCUAUUAAACUUACAAUAUAGACAGAAAUGGCACAAAACACGCAGAAAUGCAAAGGUCAAUGACAUAGUCAUUGUGCGAGAUGACACUGCACCACGUAACGAGUGGAAGAUGGCUAAGGUCACCAAGGUGUAUCCUGACAAAGAUGGAUGUGUGAGAAAGCUGCAGUUGCUGAUCAGUGACUCGGCACUGGACAAUCAAGGAAAGAAAGUCACAAGGCCGCUCUAUUUAGAGAGACCUAUUCACAAAACAGUUACACUGUUAGAGGCCGACUAGCUUUAUGUUUCUAUCCUAGGUUAAGUUUAUACAAUACAGAGCACCACACUCGUUUUAUUCAUUAGUGAAAGGGAAAUCACUAGUGAUUUGGUGGGAGUGUAGCUGUAGUCAGUGACUUCAUUUAAUUUAAUUGAUAAAUGUUUAUGUUGAAAAAAUAAGAAUUUAUAUUUUUACUUUAAAGGUAUUUUUUUUGUUUGUUUUAUUGCACUGUAACGUGUUAAGAAUGAGAAUCCAAGAGGAUCUAUUUAAUUUCUAAAGCGGAACAAAUGUUCAUUGUUAUGUUGAUAGAGGGAUUGUUUUUACCGAUGCAAGAAAGAAUGCCAUGUGGAAGAACUGACUGUGUUAAGACUGAUUUUUGAAGAUGAAGAAGAUAAAGAAAUACUAAGGAAUUCUUUACUCUUUUGUCAAGACCUUUUUAGAAGAUUGGUUAACCUCCCCUUGAGUUAUGAGGCCAAUGAGGUUCGUAAGUUAGAUGAUAAUUCACAGUACGUUUGUCAUUUAUUUUGUAAGCUAAUUAUCAUUUGAAGUACUGUUGUUUACUUUGAUUAUGUGAGAAGAUUGUUUUAUUCUCUGUGAGAAUUUAUUAUUUGUGCUUAUUUGUACAUAUUAUUUUAGUUCUCACGACGUGUUUGGCA